rnacentral:rRNA from 1 species
ACAAGCGGUGGAUCUAUGUUGUUUAAUUCGACGAUACGCGAAGAACCUUACCAGGUCUUGACAUCCCCUGCAAAGCUAUGGAGACAUAGUGGAGGUUAUCAGGGAGGACAGGUGGUGCAUGGUUGUCGUCAGCUCGUGUCGUGAGAUGUUGGGUUAAGUCCCGCAACGAGCGCAACCCUUAUUGCUAGUUACCAUCAUUGAGUUGGGGACUCUAGCGAGACUGCCAGUGAUAAACUGGAGGAAGGUGGGAUGACGUCAAAUCAUCAUGCCCCUUAUGACCUGGGCUACAAACGUGAUACAAUGGCUGAAACAAAGGGCAGCGAAGGAGUGAUGUGGAGCGAAACCCAAAAAAGCAGUCUCAGUUCGGAUUGAAGUCUGCAACUCGACUUCAUGAAGUCGGAAUCGCUAGUAAUCGCGGAUCAGAACGCCGCGGUGAAUACGUUCUCGGGGUUU